rnacentral:rRNA from 1 species
UGGGGAAUUUUGCACAAUGGGGGAAACCCUGAUGCAGCGACGCCGCGUGAUUUAGAAGGCCUUCGGGUUGUAAAAAUCUUUUUUACGGGAUGAAAAUGACAAUACCGUAAGAAUAAGGUCCGGCUAAAUACGUGCCAGCAGCCGCGGUAAUACGUAUGGACCGAGCGUUGUCCGGAAUCAUUGGGCGUAAAGGGUACGUAGGCGGCCUAGUAAGUUAGAAGUGAAAUAAUAUAGCUCAACUAUAUAAAGCUUUUAAAACUGCUAGGCUUGAGAGAUGGAAGGGAAAGUGGAAUUCCUAGUGUAGCGGUGAAAUGCGCAGAUAUUAGGAAGAAUACCGGUGGCGAAGGCGACUUUCUGGUCAUCAUCUGACGCUGAGGUACGAAAGCGUGGGUAGCAAACAGG